CAGCGUCCGGAGGGCAGCGUCUCAGCUCUAAUAUAGAACGUUAGGAUUAUGCUAAUUAACUUCAGCGGUUUGCUCACAGCCGUCGCCGUGGUCUAUUCAGAUCAUGUGCCAUGUGGUGGACACCUGUAUGAGCCAGAUGGAGGAGGCUGAUGGCUGUGUGGCUGAGUCUCUCCAUCACUUUGCUGCUGCAACACCACAAUCUGCCAUGGCAGUAUCUUAACUUGAGAAAAUGGGUCCGAGAGAGGAGCUCCAACAAGAGGACACCUACAGACUGCGUCAAGUCAUGUGUGAAAUACCUCAAGACUUCAGCGGAUGAAAUCAGAGACAUUGCAGAAGCUGUAACAGACACUUCAGCAUUCUUGGUCUGGAUUGAUACUUCGCAGGUAAAAACUGCAAACCACCUGAGACACGGCGGGUUGAACUUUGGUUUCCCUGUGAUGCCGAAGAAACGCUUAAAUGUUUGUCAUAUUCAUUUUCUGAUCUCUGGCAAUUGAAUCUGCCAGCAGCAUUAAUCUCACAAAGAUGGGAUCGUUCAGCAUGCUGUACAUGCAAUGUGAAAAAUUGACACAAUUUUUGUCUUUAAUUAAAGUUUGUCUGUUAUAAA